rnacentral:rRNA from 1 species
AAAGGUAAGCUACUAAGAGCGAAUGGUGGAUGCCUUGACUGGUAAAGGCGAUGAAGGACGUACUAGACUGCGAUAAGCUACGGGGAGCUGUCAAGAAGCUUUGAUCCGUAGAUUUCCGAAUGGGGCAACCCAAUGUAUAGAGAUAUACAUUACCUAUAUAGGAGCGAACGAGGGGAAUUGAAACAUCUUAGUACCCUCAGGAAAAGAAAUCAAUAGAGAUUGCGUCAGUAGCGGCGAGCGAAAGCGCAAGAGGGCAAACCCAGUGCUUGCACUGGGGGUUGUAGGACUGCAAUGUGCAAGAGGUAAGUUUAGCAGAACAUUCUGGAAAGUAUAACCAUAGAGGGUGAUAGUCCCGUAUGCGAAAAACAAACCUUAGCUAGCAGUAUCCUGAGUAGGGCGGGACACGAGGAAUCCUGUCUGAAUCCGGGUCGACCACGAUCCAACCCUAAAUACUAAUACCAGAUCGAUAGUGCACAAGUACCGUGAGGGAAAGGUGAAAAGAACUGAGGUGAUCAGAGUGAAAUAGAA